UGGGGAAUAUUGGACAAUGGGCGCAAGCCUGAUCCAGCAAUGCCGCGUGUGUGAAGAAGGCCUGAGGGUUGUAAAGCACUUUCAGUGGGGAGAAAGAGGCCAUUGCUAAUACCAAUGGCGGAUGAUGUUACCCACAGAAGAAGCACCGGCUAACUCUGUGCCAGCAGCCGCGGUAAUACAGAGGGUGCGAGCGUUAAUCGGAAUUACUGGGCGUAAAGGGUGCGUAGGUGGUUUAGUAAGUUAGAUGUGAAAUUCCCGGGCUUAACCUGGGGACUGCAUCUGAUACUGCGAAGCUAGAGUACUGUAGAGGGAAGUGGAAUUUCCGGUGUAGCAGUGAAAUGCGUAGAUAUCGGAAGGAACAUCAGUGGCGAAGGCGACUUCCUGGACAGAUACUGACACUGAGGCACGAAAGCGUGGGGAGCAAACAG
rnacentral:rRNA from 1 species